AACGGUCCUCGUCUUCAAGCACAAGAAACAUCGAAGAGUUCAAGUUAGAUGAUAAAACCUCUAAGAACCUGAUCAAUCGUUCGGUUAUGUCUGCUCGCGAAGUGAAAUGGCAUAUUUAUGCAACUUUUUGGUAAAACUGGCCCAUUAUGAUGCCUUAAAACUUAGGAAAUAGAAGUGUACGGGGAAGAAAAGGAAGUCUUCAGAAAGAGAAACAAAGGCGUGGCGGGGUUUUACCACUUCAGCAUCUGCUUACCCCAUCUCCGCCCCCCACCCUUCCUCCUUCCCAGAGGCCAUACCCCGUCUUUGCGGGAUCGAAGGCCACCAUCUUCGAAAACUCUGGGCUUCCCACGGGACACAGACAGCCAGGUAGACGCCACUUGAGUACACAGGGAGCCAGAGAGAGUGCGCAGGAUUAGGACUGUAUCCUUCAUCCACCUCGAAGCCUCGUCCCCACCGCCACCCGGACACCUGACAUCCCCCGAGCGCCCGAGAAGGAUGCCAAGCCAGACAGCUGAGAAGAUGGCGUCACCUGUCACAGCAGCAGCACUCGCGUCCGCCUGGAACCAGCCUACGUCGCACUCAAUUCGUAGAUCCCCCCGCGACGAGGCUCCCGAGGCAGACCCAGAGCAGGAAAAAAAACCGGCCGAUUCCCGCACUGACACAACCCGGCGACCCGAACUGGCGCGCCCGUACUUCCGGUAACUGCGGAAGUCCCGCCCUCAGAGAUGGUCCUUAAAAAAAAAAAAACAGACCGGAAGCUCCGCCCCAUGCCCAACGGCUGCGGAAGUUCUUUCCUGGUCUCCUUCGCUCAGUCCCACAGGCUUGUUCCGCGGGAUAGUCUCCUGUUUUGGCUUUCGGCUUUGACGCCGGGUCCUGGAGACCUAAACUAUGGCCUAGCAGCGCGCUGAGCCAAGACCCAGCGAGUGACUGCAGAACGAGUAUGGCGUCCCCUGGUGGCGCAAGUAGGCUCAGCGCUUUCCCUGUUAGGAGCUUUCCCAAGGUGCUUACAGGCACUGCUAGACCCCAAAUUCUGCACCACACACUAACGGUACACGCGAUCCUUGCACGAAUUGCUCCCCGAGACCCUGUAGCGUCGGUAACAGGGAGAAGCACACACAGCCUCCCGGACCGUGGGUACUUACCACUGCAGGGAUUCCGGUGAGGGGUCCACGGUCAGGCAGGUUUUAAGUCCAUCUGUCCUAAACACUCGCACAGCCCAAAAACUGGUAAGAAAAAUAAUCUAUUAAAAUGCAAAGUCGAGUGUACUAUUUAACGUAAUCGCUUUCAGAAUCUCUCAAAUCCAACUGCUUUACAGGCUGAUCUGCUAGGAAUGGCUCCUCAGGCAGGGCUCAGUGGGAGUCUUGCUAGCUGGCUGCAGGAGAGCCUGGUAGAGAUAGAACUAUUAAUAUUUCAGCUUAUCUGCAGAAGAUGACUCACCCAGUUUCCUUCUGAAAUAUCUGAUCACCAUUGGCUAAGAGGGGAAAAUAGAAUCAGCUGUUCACUGCAAAAGGUGGGACUUGAGCCGCUUUUCCCCGUUAAUCAGGGUUGGGAAGACCUACAUAGCAGAAUGGAGCUGUUACAUAAACAGCCUUGUCUCUGCGAGCAACUUGAACUAGAUGUUUAAAACUCACCUACAGUAAAAGCAUGAUAGUAUUUUCCUUCUAUAUGGGUCAACAUUCUUCCUAUAAGAUAAAACUGAAGGUUCAGAUUCAAGAAGCAGUAAUGCAAGAUGUUUGCUGGAGAAGAAAUAAAUUUAUCGUAUUUG
rnacentral:lncRNA from 1 species